UUACUGAAAUGUUCUUAUACGAAGUAGCUAUUGUAGUAGUUCCCUCCAGACCUCAUGUUGAGUGUGCGUGUGUGCACAGAAACCGAUGCUUAGCUUGCCCAGACAUCUCAGAACUGGGCAAAUGUGUGCAAACAGCUUGAAAAGGGACCACUCGGGGCUUUCAUGCUCUUCGCUGGUAUACACUUUUCAUGAUUCUUCAAUGUGAACACUAGGUUGCAACUCUCCCACUCCGCUUGCAUUUGCCUGCUGUCUCCCUCUCUUUCUCUAGCUCACUCUUAGAAUGGAGUCUUACUUGGAGGAGUAGAAAAAUAUAGCUCAGAGCUGAACUCAUUUUGUCAUAUGUUCCAUUAUGCUGGGAGCCAGAGAGCUGUCGUCAAGCCAGACUUGUGUUCUGUUGGGCUGCAGAAUAUGUCAGAAAGAGUCAGAGGCACGAGAUGUUCUUCAUACAGCUGAGCCCCACGAUGCUUUUACUGUGUGUUGUUGAGAGACAGAGCUUUAAGGGUUCAUUUAACUGCAGUAGACAGGGAGAAGGGGAUGAUUGUGAAAACGGAGACUAAGGCAGCCUCCCUUCCGAAGCUCGCUGGAGUCUCCCUCAGAUGCUACCGGUGAGUAACUCACGCUCAGAAUGAAAUGUGCCGUGGACAGUACGGCAGGCUGAUUCUGUCUACACACAUACAGCCAGCAUAUUUCUGGUGCUGAAGGGUGUCCAACCCCUGCUACUUACUGUCCUUAUAUGCAUUCUUUUCUGCCUGAUGUCAGGCUCUGUGGUAGGGUGACACUGUGAUAUAAUCAAUACAUAUUGGCCCUUGCUCCCACAUGCUGGCCCAGCAUGGAUCUCUUGAAACCCUUAGAGUUUCUCGAGAAGCUGGAACAAAGGAGCAUCUUCAGUUACUCACCAGCCCCUCAAUCACACCUGAACUUAUGCUGACCUGCUCACUCCUGGUGGGCCAUGAGUAAGUUUCAAGAUGGCCCAACCGAGAUUAGAGGGUGAGAACUUUCCACUCACAGGGAUGGGAGAGAAGGGCGAGUCUGAGUUCAGACAUUAAUGACUAAUGACUAGUCAACCAUGCUGCACAGUGUGGCCCUCCACUAAAAAUCACUAAAAGAUAGGUUGUGGAGAGCACAGCCCAGGGUGUUGAACACACUUUGCUCCUGGGUGGAGGAUACAUGUGAGGGCAAGUGAGUCUUACAGUCCUCCCUCAGAGCUUGCCAAGGGCCUCUUUUCCAGUUGACAGUACUGAGUUAUGGCCUUUAUACUAAUCUAAUGGUGCUACAGGAGCUCAAAGCAAAAAAUUCAACUCUCAAAACAAGGCAAUAAGCUGGUUCCUGUCAUCUAUCCCCAUGUGUCAGAGUCAAACAUUGCUAUGGGGCAGAGAAAGCCUUAAUCAAUGAGGCCCCACAGGAAAGAACAGAUAAAAAAUGUUCAGUGACCUCCUGCUCUAUCUUUGAAAGGCAGAUAAGAACGUUGAC
rnacentral:sRNA from 1 species